GAAAUGCGAUAAGUAAUGUGAAUUGCAGAAUUCAGUGAAUCAUCGAAUCUUUGAACGCACGUUGCGCCCGCCAGUAUUCUGGCGGGCAUGCCUGUCCGAGCGUCAUUUCAACCAUCAAGCCCCCGGGCUUGUGUUGGGGACCUGCGGCUGCCCGCAGGCCCUGAAAACCAGUGGCGGGCUCGCUGUCACACCGAGCGUAGUAGCAAUCACCUCGCUCAGGGCGUGCUGCGGGUUCCGGCCGUUAAACAGCCUUACAAAACCCAAGGUUGACCUCGGAUCAGGUAGGAAGACCCGCUGAACUUAAGC
rnacentral:misc_RNA from 1 species